CCUACGGGAGGCUGCAGUGGGGAAUAUUGGGCAAUGGAGGCAACUCUUACCCAGCAAUGCCGCGUGAAUGAAGAAGGUCUUCGGAGUGUAAAGGUCUGUAAGUGGGGACGAAAAAAAUGACGGUACCCAAGGAAUAAGCCUCGGCUAACUACGUGCCAGCAGCCGCGGUAAUACGUAGGGGGCAAGCGUUGUGCGGAAUGACUGGGCGUAAAGGGUGUUUAGGCGGUGUAGCAAGUUCGAAGUGAAAUACCUAGAGCUUAACUCCGGUGCUGCUUCUAAAACUGCUAUACUUGAGGGCAGUAGAGGAAAGUGGAAUUCCUAGUGUAGCGGUGAAAUGCGUAGAUAUUAG
rnacentral:rRNA from 1 species